GAUGAACGCUGGCGGCGUGCCUAAUACAUGCAAGUCGAGCGAACAGACGAGGAGCUUGCUCCUCUGACGUUAGCGGCGGACGGGUGAGUAACACGUGGAUAACCUACCUAUAAGACUGGGAUAACUUCGGGAAACCGGAGCUAAUACCGGAUAAUAUAUUGAACCGCAUGGUUCAAUAGUGAAAGACGGUUUUGCUGUCACUUAUAGAUGGAUCCGCGCCGCAUUAGCUAGUUGGUAAGGUAACGGCUUACCAAGGCAACGAUGCGUAGCCGACCUGAGAGGGUGAUCGCCCACACUGGAACUGAGACACGGUCCAGACUCCUACGAGAGGCAGCAGUAGGGAAUCUUCCGCAAUGGGCGAAAGCCUGACGGAGCAACGCCGCGUGAGUGAUGAAGGUCUUCGGAUCGUAAAACUCUGUUAUUAGGGAAGAACAAAUGUGUAAGUAACUAUGCACGUCUUGACGGUACCUAAUCAGAAAGCCACGGCUAACUACGUG
rnacentral:rRNA from 1 species